GACGAACGCUGGCGGCGUGCUUAACACAUGCAAGUCGAACGGAAAGGCCCUGCUUUUGUGGGGUGCUCGAGUGGCGAACGGGUGAGUAACACGUGAGUAACCUGCCCUUGACUUUGGGAUAUCUUCUGGAAACUGGGGCUCAUACCGGAUAGGAGCUCCUGCAGCAUGGUGGGGGUUGGAAAGUUUCGGCGGUUCGGGCUGGACUCGCGGCUUAUCAGCUUGUUGGUGGGGUAGUGGCUUACCAAGGCUUUGACGGAUAGCCGGCCUGGGAGGGGAGCCGGCCACAAUGGGACUGAGAUAGGGCGCAGACUGCUACGGGAGGCAGCAGUGGAGAAUAUUGCAGAAUGGGGGGAAGCCUGAUGCGACAGCGCCGGGUGCGGAAUAACGGCCUUCUGGUUGUGAACCGCUUUCGCCUGUGACGAAGCGUUAGUGACGGUAAUGGGUAAAGAAGCACCGGCUAACUACGUG
rnacentral:rRNA from 1 species